AGUGAACGCUGGCGGUAGGCCUAACACAUGCAAGUCGAACGGCAGCACAGGAGAGCUUGCUCUCUGGGUGGCGAGUGGCGGACGGGUGAGGAAUACAUCGGAAUCUACUUUUUCGUGGGGGAUAGCGUAGGGAAACUUACGCUAAUACCGCAUACGACCUACGGGUGAAAGCAGGGGAUCUUCGGACCUUGCGCGAUUGAAUGAGCCGAUGUCGGAUUAGCUAGUUGGCGGGGUAAAGGCCCACCAAGGCGACGAUCCGUAGCUGGUCUGAGAGGAUGAUCAGCCACACUGGAACUGAGACACGGUCCAGACUCCUACGGGAGGCAGCAGUGGGGAAUAUCGGACAAUGGGCGCAAGCCUGAUCCAGCCAUACCGCGUGGGUGAAGAAGGCCUUCGGGUUGUAAAGCCCUUUUGUUGGGAAAGAAAUCCAGCUGGUUAAUACCCGGUUGGGAUGACGGUACCCAAAGAAUAAGCACCGGCUAACUUCGUACCAGCAGCCGCCGUAA
rnacentral:rRNA from 1 species